rnacentral:tRNA from 1 species
GCAGUCGUGGCCGAGUGGUUAAGGCGAUGGACUAGAAGGCCAUUGGGGUCUCCCAGCACAGUUUCGAAUCCUGUCGACUGCG